UUUGCCCUGGCCCAGUGGGGGCUUUGCCCCGAGUGCUGGUGACAGUCAAGCGGGAGGACAGGCCAGGAAUGAAAGCGCAUCUCACCCCCCGGGCUUGCUGGGCUCACAGGCGCAGGUGCGGGUGGAGAGGGGCCUGCAGCAGCCCCAGGUGUCCUCUCACACAUGCCCCAGGCCUGCUGAAACGCUGCGCCAGGGCCACUCCACCUCUGCGGAGCCGUUUUAGACCUUCGCCUCCAAGCCCAGGCAGAGCGACAUUAAGGAAGGAAAAUCUAUUGAGAUGAUUCUGUGGGGCUUCUCCUGUUAAAAUAAACCUCAUCAUUCCCUGAGCUCUUUGAUACUAGGGAAGUGAUCACCACAGGCUUUGAAGCCAGGCAGCUCGGGGUGCCCGUCCCACUCUCCCUGCCUGCUGAGGCAUGGUCUCUGCCAUCUCCUCUGCUACUCCAGCUUAUUGGUCAUCCUGCAGAAAUGCACAUGCCUCCCAUCUGCCAUCCGACACGGCGAGCAGCAGAGGGACUUCACACUGUCAUUGCCAGGCUUGCUGUGGCCCAUGGUGAUUUUUCAAGGGAGGCAGACACAGACUCACUCACUCCUUCUCUUUCUUCCUUGCUCUGAAAGAUUCUAUGAAAACCACAUUAAAAAGCGUGUGAGCUGGACAACUCCAUCUAUCAAAGGAAGGUCAUCAGCAGGGUCCACUCCAAGGAUACAGUGUGUGCUCCCAGCUUUCCACACAAAGCAUGAAGACCAGCAUCCUCUUAAUGGACCUAAUCUCCAUUUCACUCCCAAACAGCAUCUGCCUGAAAUCUGGGACACAAAAUCUUUCCUCUAUCAGAAGAAUUUGAUUUGCUGCAAUGGCAUGUAGCAAACACUCAGGGCCCGAGACAUUCUCUGAACGGCCAGGUUCUGUUUGGUGUCACUGGUGGUGAUUGUAGGCCGUUUGGUGCUGGGCCCAUUCUGCAGAUUGGUCCUGUUCACAUGGCACAAGCCCCUGGCCUGCCCGGAAUGCUGCCUGUCUGCCCUCCUGGAAAUCUUGCCAUUGCCAGAAUUGUGUUAGCUCAAGGCUCCGCCUACCUCCCAACCCCAAGACACGGCUGCAUGCCCAGGGAGGGGCCCUGAUGUGCUGGGCCCGCCUCCACUGUGUCUGCUGUCUCCCGAACCAAAAGAGGUUGGUGCACACCCAGCCCAACCCAGAGGCAGCUCAACCCACCCCAGAGACAGCGACAGGCUGCAGUGGCCCAAGCCACUACACCGUGGUGGCCUGUGGGAGGACCACUGCCCUGUGUUAUGAAUAGGGAAGCUAAGGUCAUUGCUGAUUUGUGCUGGAUACAAAGGAAGUACAAGUCAGAGAUCCUUGUCCUGCGGCCUCUCUUGAAAAAUGACUGAUCUGAGAAGCUAUAAAUGGAAUGGUGGGAAGUGGUUUUCCUGUACCUGGGAGUUGGCUCCCUGCUGGGCUGGCCCAUUAGACACCUGCUCCUGUCUGUGUGCAGGCCCCCCACGGCCCAGCCCCCUGGACACCCCCCACACUGUCUGUCUCCUUGCAUCGCCCUUGACAUCACCCUUACUGUGCGUUCCCCCUGCAGGCUUAGGACCUCCGUGGAUGCCCUUAUCCUGCAAUUGUUUGGUUCCUCCAUUAUCAGCUCAAAGCUCACUCAGUCUAUGGGGCUGAGAAAGCAUUUUUAUUAUAUCCUUUUAAUUAUUCAGAUAAAAGGUUCCUAGACCCUGAUUUAUCUCUGCUGCCUAAAGAAAAAUGGAGAGUUAAAUGCAAUUCCACUUUGAAAAUUACAGCCUUAAAAACAAAAUUAUGGCUCAACUGAAGGUGUCCGGGGAAAUGUGCCCAUUGAAUAAGCUUGAUGAUUUUUAUCAUUUCAAGUACAUUGCCAUUACCAUCAUUUAUUAACCAUGUUAGAGACUAGGAACUGGAUAUUAUUAGUUCACCUUUUCAGAUAACAAAGGGUGCUCACAAUCUCCUAGAGUGGGAUCUAAUUUGGUGGCGAAGAAAAAAGGAGAAAGAUCCUACAAGAAAGAUCUGGUUUCUAAAUUACACUUAACAAACAUCUUGUGAAAUCAUGGAGAAGAGUAGAGGCCUGAAACGGUCUCAACGUUUAUGUCCUGCGAGAAGUGGCUCAGUUCCAUGGGGAAGUAGUUUGACAUCAAGGAUUCAGUCUCAUGCCUUACACAGACACAGACACAUGCACACAGACACACACACACAGACACAUACACACACACACACAGACACACACACACACAGACACACACACACACACACAGACACACACACACACACAGACACACACACACACAGACACACACACACACAGACACACACACACACAGAGACACACACACACAGACACACACACACACACAGACACACAGACACAGACACAGACACACACACACACACAGACACACACACACACAGAGACACACACACACAGACACACACACACACACAGACACACACACACACAGACACAGACACACACACACACACAGAGACACACACACACAGACACACACACACACACACACAGACACACACACACACACAGACACACACACACACACAGGCUCUACGAGGGUCCAAGCAAAAUGUCCCUGCACAUCAAGAAAAGGGCAACAUCUGCUGACUUGCGGCCCUGUGUUCUGGGGGCCCCAUGGGGCUGGACUAGGCCACCACGCAGGAGCUUGAGCAUGCCGGACCCUGGACCCAUGCCCCCCCUUUCCAAAGGCCCAGUGGGGCUGGUGCGCCCACAGCACACCCCGAGGUUUACGCCUCAGUGUCUCCAGUUUCCUCCAUCCCAGUGAAGCUUCUCAGUUGUGCUCACGAUUUCUCCAUUUCCUAAGACUCACCCAUUCCCA